AACGUCCUACGGGGGGCAGCAGUGGGGAAUAUUGCGCAAUGGGCGAAAGCCUGACGCAGCGACGCCGCAUGAGGGAUGAAGGUGUUCGGACCGUAAAUCUCUGUCAGCAGGGAAGAACGGUCACUGCGCUAAUCAGCAGUGAAUUGACGGUACCUGCAAAGGAAGCACCGGCUAACUCCGUGCCAGCAGCCGCGGUAAUACGGAGGGUGCGAGCGUUAAUCGGAAUUACUGGGCGUAAAGCGCUCGUAGGCGGUAUGUCAAGUCAAGGGUGAAAUCCCCGCGCUCAACGUGGGAACUGCCUUUGA
rnacentral:rRNA from 1 species